UACGGAGGGUGCAAGCGUUAUCCGGAUUCACUGGGUUUAAAGGGUGCGUAGGCGGCCUGAUAAGUCAGUGGUGAAAGCUCUCAGCUUAACUGGGAAACUGCCAUUGAAACUGUCAGGCUUGAGUACAAUUGAAGUGGGCGGAAUACAUCAUGUAGCGGUGAAAUGCUUAGAUAUGAUGUAGAACACCGAUUGCGAAGGCAGCUCACUAAAUUGUCACUGACGCUGAGGCACGAAAGCGUGGGUAGCGAACAGG
rnacentral:misc_RNA from 1 species